rnacentral:misc_RNA from 1 species
AACUGUUGGACAAGAGCUCAGGCUUGAAUGAUGAAAAUGGUCCCUCCAUGCUACUUGAGAAGGAGAGUGUAUCAACUUGAUCAACUACAGAAGAAACCUGCUAUAGAUCAUCAAAUAGACUUAACAGAAAUUAUGUCUAAGCAAAUUAAUAAAAUUACAAAAUAAGGACAACUAUAUAUAAUAUACUAAGAAAAGGGGCUUUUGAGUCCCAAA